CAGCUCCGCAGGCUGCCGGCCCCCAGGCUGGGCUGGGCGAGUGUCUCUUCUUAAAGGCUCACCCUCAAGCACCACUAGCAGC
rnacentral:pre_miRNA from 1 species